rnacentral:rRNA from 1 species
GCACCACAAGAGGUGGGACCUGCGGUUCAAUUGGAUUCAACGCCGGAAAACUCACCAGGGGCGACAGUUGGAUGAAAGCCAGGUUGACGACUUUGCCCGACUAGCUGAGAGGUGGUGCAUGGCCAUCGUCAGCUCGUACCGUGAGGCGUCCUGUCAAGUCAGGCAACGAGCGAGAUCCUCGCCCUUAGUUGCCAUCGGUGGAAAAGCCGGGCACUCUAGGGGGACCGCUGGCGCUAAGUCAGAGGAAGGAGAGGGCGACGGUAGGUCAGUAUGCCCCGAAUCCCCUGGGCUACACGCGGGUCACAAUGCGCAGGACAAUGAGAUGCAACCCCGUAAGGGGAAGCCAAACCCUUAAACCUGCGCUCGGUUCGGAUCGAGGGCUGUAACUCGCCCUCGUGAAGCUGGAAUCUCUAGUAAUCGCGUGCCAACACCGCGCGGUGAAUACGUCCCUGCUCCUUGCACACACCGCCCGUCAAGCCACUCGAGUGGGGUUUGGAUGAGGUCAGUUCAAGUUGUGCUGCUCGAAUCCGAGUUCUGCAAGAGGGGCU